rnacentral:rRNA from 1 species
GAUGAACGCUGACAGAAUGCUUAACACAUGCAAGUCAACUUGAGCUUCGGUUUGGGUGGCGGACGGGUGAGUAACGCGUAAAGAACUUGCCUCACAGAUAGGGACAACAUUUGGAAACGAAUGCUAAUACCUGAUAUUAUGAUUAUAUGGCAUCGUAUAAUUAUGAAAGCUAUAUGCGCUGUGAGAGAGCUUUGCGUCCCAUUAGCUAGUUGGAGAGGUAACGGCUCACCAAGGCGAUGAUGGGUAGCCGGCCUGAGAGGGUGAUCGGCCACAAGGGGACUGAGACACGGCCCUUACUCCUACGGGAGGCAGAAGUGGGGAAUAUUGGACAAUGGACCAAGAGUCUGAUCCAGCAAUUCUGUGUGCACGAUGAAGUUUUUCGGAAUGUAAAGUGCUUUCAGUUGGGAAGAAAAAAAUGACGGUACCAACAGAAGAAGUGACGGCUAAAUACGUG